AUUGAACGCUGGCGGCAGGCCUAACACAUGCAAGUCGAGCGGAUGAAGGGAGCUUGCUCCUGGAUUCAGCGGCGGACGGGUGAGUAAUGCCUAGGAAUCUGCCUGGUAGUGGGGGAUAACGUUCGGAAACGGGCGCUAAUACCGCAUACGUCCUGAGGGAGAAAGUGGGGGAUCUUCGGACCUCACGCUAUCAGAUGAGCCUAGGUCGGAUUAGCUAGUUGGUGGGGUAAAGGCCUACCAAGGCGACGAUCCGUAACCGGUCUGAGAGGAUGAUCAGUCACACUGGAACUGAGACACGGUCCAGACUCCUACGGGAGGCAGCAGUGGGGAAUAUUGGACAAUGGGCGAAAGCCUGAUCCAGCCAUGCCGCGUGUGUGAAGAAGGUCUUCGGAUUGUAAAGCACUUUAAGUUGGGAGGAAGGGCAGUAAGUUAAUACCUUGCUGUUUUGACGUUACCAACAGAAUAAGCACCGGCUAACUUCGUG
rnacentral:rRNA from 1 species